GUGGGCAGAGACCACCUCCCUCAUUGCCGCUUUGGGUUUGGACCGCUUUAAACAGUAAAGUGACUGUCGACGGCUCAGUCUACAGGGAGGAGAACAAAAGACAGGGUCAGGGCUGGGCAGACUGGACAGGGUAAGAUUCUGGCUCCCCUCACUUGCUAGUUGGAGGAGUGGGGAGGCGAGUUAUUAGUGCCUUUGGGCCCUGACCUUAUAGCCCUUCGUAGGGUGGUGUGCGAAUGUCCAGUGUCCAGUGCUGAAUGCUGAGGGACCCAGUAAGAGGAGGUGGCUAGAACUGGAGGGACAGUUUCCCAGAAGCCUGGGCUUUGGGAUAGCAGCUGGGGAGAGCAGAGUCACGCUAGGCUCUUGUCUAGUGACUGGAGCUGUCAGCAGCAUAAGCCAGGCUCUAUGGAAUGUUGGGUGAGCUGCUUGAGGAACUCCAAGGCCUGUCCCACAGUCUUCCAGCCUCCGACUCUCCGGCCCUCAGCGAGGUCAGCAGUGAGCUACUUUUGGAUCUGAAGUCCCACUGGUUUUUUUGGUUGGUUUUUUUUUUUUUUUUUAAGGUUUUUUGGUUUUUUUUUUUUUUUCUCAUUCCUGUCUUGGGAGCUUUCCCCAACCAGGCUUCCCUCCCUCCCAGUGCUGAUUUCCUGUGGACCAGAUUCCAGCACAGUGGAGGGCCAGAGCUCAGGGAACAGACCCAGCAGCACAGCAAGUCUCCAAGGAAAGCUCUAGCAGUCUCCAGGGGCUGAAGGCAGGACUGGGGAAGCGGCUAGCCAGGCUGCAGAAGGCAAAUGCUCCCAGACGGCUGUCCAGCACGCAUCCGCCUUCCUAGCCAAGUUUCCUGGGCUCCUGCCACAGAUCUAAGCCUCAUCCUGACAUACCAAAAAGAAGACCUGACGUCAUCCUGAGCACCCCCGCCAUGCAGAGUGUGUUCGCAGACUGCCAACGGGCUGGCUCCGGCCAGCAGAAGUGAACAGAGGUGGAGGUUCAGCCUGACAGCUUCUCCCCAAAGCCAUGGAGAGAAAACCUUACCACCCCCACCGCCCAGCUACUUCCAGCAAGUUGUCCAGCCUGACCCCUCUAUUUCCCCUGUUGUCUCUUAUCUGGGUCCCUGAGACCCACCCCAUCUCCAAUAAAGAACAUUGCAUACUGUGCAUCAGUGUUGCCUUGGGUGUGCCAGGCAGGGUCGGGGGCGUGCUGGGUUCUCCAUACUAGAACACCACUACUGA
rnacentral:lncRNA from 1 species